UACGCGCACCUGUUUCUAAUUUGAUUGUCUUAUUUAGUUCAGCCGGGUGCGUUUGCCGGUUGUUGGUUCAUUGUUUGUCCUUUGCAACGUGUCGUAUUUCGCCGUAUUUCAGAAAUAAAAGCCAAGCUUUUUCCUGCACCAUUCGCUUCAUCUCUGCAUCCUGGGGUCGCAUCGCAACACCUGCAUGCCGAACCGUGACAGUUCAAUAUGAGCUCCUGAUGGCGGAGGCGACAACGUCUCUCCUUGCUGGAAAGAAGGUGGUGGUUAUCCAGUAAAGCAGACGCAGACGCCCCCCUAACUGCUGCUCGAGACACCCUCCCCAAGGUGCCUCCUGGGACUUUUCACGCCGCCACCCCCAACAUCAUCAGGCGUGCCAAGACGACCUUCCACCAGGAUCUAAAAUCAAACCGGGGUGCCCCAUCCUUCCGGGGAGUCAGCACUCCAGGUGAUAUUGACGGCUCAAUUAGUCCAUUGGCAAGCAUUAUCUUCGCUGUUGCCGCUGUUUUUGGCAGGACACCCUGGAGGCCCUCCACUGGCGCCUCAUCAGUCGUCCUGAUUUUAUGGCUAAUGAUCCUGGUGGCACCAGUGGUCUCAGUCCAAACGUUUGGCCAUUUCUGCAGCAGCUGCCUCACAACUUCAGGCUGAGCUUCAAAGAAAGGAAUGUUGGAUGGGUGGGCUUUGGGCUCCUCGACAACCGCCAUGUAAAAGUUCACCCAAGAGUGAGUAUGAUUCCUGUGUAGUUGAUCUCUGGUCUUGUUGAGCAACCUUAACUCUCUUCCACCUGACAUAACAUACUUGCCAAGAUGAGGUUUCAUAGACCAUGACAGCAGUUUUCUUACAGCUGAGUCUUGAAAAUAGUGACACGCUUGGGGACCCCACUAACUCUGCUGAUGGACUUUUGUGGCCAUUACAACUAGAGCUCUCUAGACAUGAAAUAACACCCCCACAGUCACCUUUUAAACUCCUAUUACCCACCAUAAUAGACGUAAUAACAGAAAAUAAGACAUCUUUAGGGCCUUCUAAAUGUGCUUUUUAACAUUACUAGAGACCUCUAGAUGGGAAAUAACACCCCUACAGUCACAUUGUAAACUCCUAUUACCCACCAUAAUAGACGUAAUAACAGAAAUUAAGGCAUAAAAAAAACCUCCUUAGGGCCUUCUAAAUGUGCUUUUUAACAUUACUAGAGACCUCUAGAUGGGAAAUAACACCCCUACAGUCACCUUUUAAACUCCUAUUACCCACCAUAAUAGACAUAAUAACAGAAAAUAAGACAUAAAAAAACCUCUUUAGGGACUUCUAAAUGUGCUUUUUAACAUUACUAGAGACCUCUAGAUGUGAAAUAACACCCCUACAGUCACCUUUUAAACUCCUAUUACCCACCAUAAUCGACGUAAUAGAAGAAAAUAAGACAUCUUUAGGAUCUUCUAAAUGUGCUUUUUAACAUUACUAGAGACCUCUAGACGUGAAAUAACACCCCUACAGUCACCUUUAAACACCUAUUACCCACCAUAAUAGACGUAAUAACAGAAAAUAAGACAUCUUUAGGGCCUUCUAAAUGUGCUUUUUUGAACAUUACUAGAGACCUCUAGACGUGAAAUAACACCCCUACAGUCACCUUUUAAACUCCUAUUACCCACCAUAAUAGACGUAAUAAUAGAAAAUAAGACAUAAAAAACCUCUUUAGGGCCUUCUAAAUGUGCUUUUUAACAUUACUAGAGACCUCCAGACGUGAAAUAACACCCCUACAGUCACCUUUACACUACAAUUACCCAAUUUAGUAGUUAUAAUGUGAAACACUAAAACAGUUUACCACCUUCUAAAUACACUUUCUAACAUUAUUAGAGCCCUCUGGACACGAAAUAGCACCCCUAUAGUCACCUUUACACUCAUAUUACCCAAUAUAGUAGAUGUAAUAUUAGAAAAUAAGACAAAUUGACUGGUGCAUACAGAUGAGUAAAGUCACAUGAGUGUAUUUUUUUACUUUAUUUUUAUUUUUUAUUUUUCAUUUUUUUUGGUCAUUCCUAAAAUACAGAUACUGGUGU